UACGAAGGGGGCUAGCGUUGCUCGGAAUCACUGGGCGUAAAGGGUGCGUAGGCGGGUCUUUAAGUCAGGGGUGAAAUCCUGGAGCUCAACUCCAGAACUGCCUUUGAUACUGAAGAUCUUGAGUUCGGGAGAGGUGAGUGGAACUGCGAGUGUAGAGGUGAAAUUCGUAGAUAUUCGCAAGAACACCAGUGGCGAAGGCGGCUCACUGGCCCGAUACUGACGCUGAGGUACGAAAGCGUGGGGAGCAAACAGG
rnacentral:rRNA from 1 species